AAUGGAGGCAACUCUGAACCAGCCGUGCCGCGUGCAGGAAGACGGCCUCUGGGUUGUAAACUGCUUUUAUUAGGGAAGAAACGCCUCAUGCGUGUGGAACUGACGGUACCUAAAGAAUAAGCACCGGCUAACUCCGUGCCAGCAGCCGCGGUAAUACGGAGGGUGCAAGCGUUGUCCGGAUUUAUUGGGUUUAAAGGGUGCGUAGGCGGUCUUUUAAGUCAGAGGUGAAAUCCCACAGCUUAACUGUGGAACUGCCUUUGAAACUGGAAGACUUGAGUAUAGUUGAGGUAGGCGGAAUUUAUGAUGUAGCGGUGAAAUGCAUAGAUAUCAUAAAGAACACCGAUUGCGAAGGCAGCUUACUGGACUAUAACUGACGCUGAGGCACGAAAGCAUGGGGAGCGAACAGGAUU
rnacentral:rRNA from 1 species